GAUGAAGAACGGAGCGAAAUGCGAUACGUAAUGUGAAUUGCAGAAUUCAGUGAAUCAUCGAAUCUUUGAACGCACAUUGCGCCUGCCAGCACUCUGGCAGGCAUGCCUGUUCGAGCGUCAUUUCAACCAUCAAGCCCUAGGCUUGCGUUGGAGCCCUGCGGCUGCCGCAGGCCCCUAAAAGCAGUGGCGGGCUCGCUAUCACACCGAGUGCAGUAGAUUACUCUUCGCUCAGGGCGUGUGGCGGGUUCCAGCCGUGAAACCCCCUACUUCUCAAGGUUGACCUCGGAUCAGGUAGGAAUACCCGCUGAACUUAAGCAUAUCAAUAAGCGGAGGA
rnacentral:misc_RNA from 1 species